CCUACGGGGGGCAGCAGUGAGGAAUAUUGGUCAAUGGGCGUAAGCCUGAACCAGCCAAGUCGCGUGAGGGAUGAAGGUUCUAUGGAUCGUAAACCUCUUUUAUAAGGGAACAAAGUGUGGGUCGUGUCCUGUUUUGUAUGUACCUUAUGAAUAAGGAUCGGCUAACUCCGUGCCAGCAGCCGCGGUAAUACGGAGGAUCCGAGCGUUAUCCGGAUUUAUUGGGUUUAAAGGGUGCGUAGGCGGGCUUGUAAGUCAGCGGUGAAAGUCUGUGGCUCAACCAUUGAAUUGCCGUUGAAACUGGGGGGCUUGAGUAUGUGUGAGGCAGGCGGAAUGCGUGGUGUAGCGGUGAAAUGCUUAGAUAUCACGCAGAACCCCGAUUGCGAAGGCAGCCUGCCGGGCCAUAACUGACGCUGAUGCACGAAAGCGUGGGGAUCAAACAGGAUUAGAUACCCUUGUAGUC
rnacentral:rRNA from 1 species